GGUCCUGGUAUGUACAACAGUUUAGAAUGUGCAAUGUAGCGAAAUGUACACGUAUUUCUGACCGUGUUGUUUUACGUAUAUUUUCAGUCCCACGUCUCAGUGAAUGAGUUCACACAACAUCCAUGCUUUCAACAAGGAGAUCUUUCACAGGGGGAAGAGAGAAGAAAUUGGCAGAUGGCUUUUCGGAGCCUACACGUCAGUGCAGAACGGGCGGCGGUUUGGCGGGUUUGGGCUGGGAGAGGCGACGCCAACGCCAGCGGCACGGAGCGGACCGCGAGCUGGCGACUCACGGCGCAGUCCCGCGUUGGACGGCGGCCAGGAAACGUUCUCACGCAAUCAAGGGAACGUCCUUCAUUACAGCGUCGAGUCCGCUAAUUACCCGACGCGCGUCCCGUCCGUUUCCCCCGAACGGGUCCGUUUAGGCAAGGGGAGUCUUAAAAAAGGGAAGCCGUUGCCAUUGACACCUGCGCUCAAAGCAGCCAAUUAGCGUGAGGUUUGAUUGCUCGCGCAGCUUAAGUGUAAUUAAUCAGAACUCCAGCGCGGCAGAACUAAUCAAUAAAGUUUGAAAUGCCGGGGAGAGCUGAGCAGGGAUGUGAUCUAGACGGUGUGCGGCACGCAAGCCUGGCAGUCAGUUCCGUUUCAGUUCAGUCAACCCAGGAAAUUCAGUCCAUGAAUUGGAAAUAAUCCUCAUCAUUUUCUAUGAGGAUUUUUUUUUUUCAAUGAAUACAGUUGAAUUUCAAUUCACCUGAAUUCACCUUCUGAAUUGAAAUGGUUUUGCCCCCCCCAAGUCCUUGUAGACUAAUCCAUUCAUCUGCCUCCCUUUGCCAAAGUCCAGAUGAGUCAUGGAAAUGUUCUUAUUUAUUUCUGUGGCAGGAGUGUGCGAACACAAGCCCACCUGUCUAAACCCUCUCCGGGAGACACGGUCAGGGGGUACUGACCUUGAUCAGGUCUUCAUACCAGUCCACGGGUGUUGAGUGGGGAGGGGGCAAAGGGUCAUGACCCUUCGAUAAUUACACUGGGGGGGCGCUUCCUCCUGGAUAUUCUCGACUGUUUUUGGUGAAAUAUGUACUUAUUUAUGUGGAUGUAAUGCUGAAUAGCUUAUGGACGGUGAUGGUAAAUCACUGUCACAUAUAUGAGAGCACCCAAUUAUAGCUAUCUGUGCCUGUCAACACUGUCUUAGAUCAAAUCUGGCUGGCCUAACGUAAGUCUAAACACAUUCGUCGACUUAAGUGAAUCCAGAAUGAACAGACAUUCACCAUUUUUGAGGUAGGCGAGCACUUUUUUUAUGAACUUCCAGAUUUCUUGCCGCAAGCUAGCUAAUUACUUGCAAAUGUAUGGUCAGUGAGGGAAAAAAGCCUGUGUUGCCUAACAGUGUUUAAAACCACCAUCAUUAGCUGCUAACUGUUUUGUGUUUUAUUUGUGUAAUUCAUAUCCUGUUUGCAUUCUGGAAUGAAUGUCUUGUAUUAUGGGUUAAUGGCAUGUUUAGCUAUGGUUAGCACAGAUAUGAGUCUGUUGUGUUGGGUUUGUUUGUUAGCUAGCUAGCUAUCUACUUUGUAAGCAAGGGUAGGCUGCUUCAUUCAAUGCAGUUCUCUGGUAAUCCAGUCAGUGAAUCGGCUGUCGCAGCAGAAGCAGCUCUCACUCCGGUUUUAUGAUGAAAAAAUGCCACGUACACAGCAAUUCAUGUAACUGUAAAAAUGAUUUGUUGAUCCCUGCCUGUUUUGAUGCCAAAUCGAGGCCUGUGUAAUCAGUCCAAAGGCUGCACCCGCAUCAGAUCACCUGGAUCAAUUACAUAGCUUAAAUACUUUAUCUGUUUAUUUUCUGGCAAAAUCAGUAAGGCACUCCUACAGAUCCCUGAAAAUUUUCAGUGAAACAGUUACUAACCAAAAUGUACAGUCAUGUGAAAAGAGUUUUGUUCUGAAUUGAAGAAUAUAUAUGUUUUUGUGAAAUUGUGUGUAUAAAAUAUGCUAGAAUCAUGUUGGUGUCUAAGGGAUAUUUGUAAAGUGUUUAAAAUAUUUGGCUGGUGAGUGUGCGUGCGUGUGUGCAUGCGUCACGAGCCACGCACUGGAACCCGUGUGUAAGCAGGAUGGGCUACCUUGUGACAGGGUCCGUGUCCCACAAGGCCCCGGGGUCACAGGCAAGGCUACAGACGUGUAAACGCAGAACACAAAGAGAGCACGGCGCUCGUCAGAGCCCUCCGGCACAUGAUAGACGGCUAUUUUCGGGGUCCUGCAGGCUGCCCCCCCCAGCCCUUUGUUUGGCCUCCAGGACGUGCAGACUUCAAAAGCGGCACAAACAAAACCGCGAAACCGUGCCAACAGGACCGCUACCGCCACCUCCGCCUCCCCGGAGUCGCGCCGUCUCCCGGCAACCGGGAGGAAGUGCGUCAGCCGCAGCGACAGGCAGCGCAAGUGCGCAAACGUGGGACAGAGAGCAGCCUCAGCUGGGACGGUGACCGUCUUCGCCCUUGAACCCCGGGGACAGGGCGGA